AUUGAACGCUGGCGGCAGGCCUAACACAUGCAAGUCGAGCGGAUGAAGGGAGCUUGCUCCUGGAUUCAGCGGCGGACGGGUGAGUAAUGCCUAGGAAUCUGCCUGGUAGUGGGGGAUAACGUCCGGAAACGGGCGCUAAUACCGCAUACGUCCUGAGGGAGAAAGUGGGGGAUCUUCGGACCUCACGCUAUCAGAUGAGCCUAGGUCGGAUUAGCUAGUUGGUGGGGUAAAGGCCUACCAAGGCGACGAUCCGUAACUGGUCUGAGAGGAUGAUCAGUCACACUGGAACUGAGACACGGUCCAGAGUCCUACGGGAGGCAGGAGUGGGGAAUAUUGGACGAUGGGCGAAAGCCUGAUCCAGCCAUGCCGGGUGUGUGAAGAAGGUCUUCGGAUUGUAAAGCACUUUAAGUUGGGAGGAAGGGCAGUAAGUUAAUACCUUGCUGUUUCGACGUUACCAACAGAAUAAGCACCGGCUAACUUCGU
rnacentral:rRNA from 1 species